GGGGUUGUGGCUCAGUGGUAAAGCGCUCGCCUAGCAUGUGUGAAGCACUGGGUUCAAUCCUCAGCACCA
rnacentral:tRNA from 1 species